AUGAACGCUAGCUACAGGCUUAACACAUGCAAGUCGAGGGGCAUCAGGAAGAAAGCUUGCUUUCUUUGCUGGCGACCGGCGCACGGGUGAGUAACACGUAUCCAACCUGCCCUUUACUCGGGGAUAGCCUUUCGAAAGAAAGAUUAAUACCCGAUGGCAUAAUGAUUCCGCAUGGUUUCAUUAUUAAAGGAUUCCGGUAAAGGAUGGGGAUGCGUUCCAUUAGGUUGUUGGUGAGGUAACGGCUCACCAAGCCUUCGAUGGAUAGGGGUUCUGAGAGGAAGGUCCCCCACAUUGGAACUGAGACACGGUCCAAACUCCUACGGGAGGCAGCAGUGAGGAAUAUUGGUCAAUGGGCGCUAGCCUGAACCAGCCAAGUAGCGUGAAGGAUGAAGGCUCUAUGGGUCGUAAACUUCUUUUAUAUAAGAAUAAAGUGCAGUAUGUAUACUGUUUUGUAUGUAUUAUAUGAAUAAGGAUCGGCUAACUCCGUGCCAGCAGCCGCGGUAAUACGGAGGAUCCGAGCGUUAUCCGGAUUUAUUGGGUUUAAAGGGAGCGUAGGUGGACUGGUAAGUCAGUUGUGAAAGUUUGCGGCUCAACCGUAAAAUUGCAGUUGAUACUGUCAGUCUUGAGUACAGUAGAGGUGGGCGGAAUUCGUGGUGUAGCGGUGAAAUGCUUAGAUAUCACGAAGAACUCCGAUUGCGAAGGCAGCUCACUGGACUGCAACUGACACUGAUGCUCGAAAGUGUGGGUAUCAAACAGGAUUAGAUACCCUGGUAGUCCACACAGUAAACGAUGAAUACUCGCUGUUUGCGAUAUACAGUAAGCGGCCAAGCGAAAGCAUUAAGUAUUCCACCUGGGGAGUACGCCGGCAACGGUGAAACUCAAAGGAAUUGACGGGGGCCCGCACAAGCGGAGGAACAUGUGGUUUAAUUCGAUGAUACGCGAGGAACCUUACCCGGGCUUAAAUUGCAGUGGAAUGAUGUGGAAACAUGUCAGUGAGCAAUCACCGCUGUGAAGGUGCUGCAUGGUUGUCGUCAGCUCGUGCCGUGAGGUGUCGGCUUAAGUGCCAUAACGAGCGCAACCCUUAUCUUUAGUUACUAACAGGUUAUGCUGAGGACUCUAGAGAGACUGCCGUCGUAAGAUGUGAGGAAGGUGGGGAUGACGUCAAAUCAGCACGGCCCUUACGUCCGGGGCUACACACGUGUUACAAUGGGGGGUACAGAAGGCAGCUAGCGGGUGACCGUAUGCUAAUCCCAAAAGCCUCUCUCAGUUCGGAUCGAAGUCUGCAACCCGACUUCGUGAAGCUGGAUUCGCUAGUAAUCGCGCAUCAGCCACGGCGCGGUGAAUACGUUCCCGGGCCUUGUACACACCGCCCGUCAAGCCAUGAAAGCCGGGGGUACCUGAAGUACGUAACCGCGAGGAGCGUCCUAGGGUAAAACUGGUGAUUGGGGCU
rnacentral:rRNA from 1 species